AACCUUUGCUGUCUUGGGACGGAUCACCACUGCAAGAGGGGAAGUUGCUACUGUGAUGAAUUCUGCCAUGUGGCACCAGACUGCCACCCAGACCACAGUGUCCUCUGCAACCCUGGUAACUCACAUACAGGCCCGAUUCCACCGACAGCAAAGCUGGAUGCUAUGGCUGGCAGAGGCAAACCCUUUGCCUGCACUUCAGGCCAAAGCCGGGAUGUGGCCUAGAUGGUUCCUAAGGUCCCUGACAAUCCUGAGAUCUUGCAUCUUGUCUAUUUCAGGUCAAAGGUGCCUACAUGCUCCUUCUAGCUUUGUUUCCCUGAUGUUCCUUGCCACCUGCUACUCCUCUCUGAGCUACUUUUCCAGCUUCUCAGAUGACCAAGAUGGUGCUGCAGAUGGUGCUGAGGAUGGAGAACCCACCAAGCCCCGCUAGGAGCCACCUAGACUGGAUGCAGAGCAUGGUUCAGCGAGUUCUCCAAACCAGCCUCCCAGGAAUGCCAUUCACCAUGGCUGUGAGGAGAAUAAAGAAGAGAGCCUGACUCCUCUCCUGAGGCCCCUUCCCCACCCUGAGCCAGCAGGAUCCACGGAGCAGAGGUCAUCUGUCCCCAGCUUGGCCCACUGAGGCCAGCAUGGCUGGGCCCAGGAUGCUUGUCUCUCAGCUCCCA
rnacentral:misc_RNA from 1 species